rnacentral:lncRNA from 1 species
GAUUGACAUUUGAUCCGGGAGGAUACAUCUUGACGAAGCAAGAGGCUGCUAUCCGAGAUCAAGAAUGCACAUCUGAGGAUAGAUCUUCUCAUGAAGGAGGAGAUGAUGGACACCAUCCAGCCACAACCAUCCCCCAAGCAAAAGCCUUGGAUUUGAGGACAAAUCCUUUUCAAGAGGGAGGGGAUGAUGGAGGAGGGCCUAAG